GAUUGAACGCUGGCGGCAGGCCUAACACAUGCAAGUCGAGCGGUAACAGAAAGUAGCUUGCUACUUUGCUGACGAGCGGCGGACGGGUGAGUAAUGCUUGGGAACAUGCCUUGAGGUGGGGGACAACAGUUGGAAACGACUGCUAAUACCGCAUAAUGUCUACGGACCAAAGGGGGCUUCGGCUCUCGCCUUUAGAUUGGCCCAAGUGGGAUUAGCUAGUUGGUGAGGUAAUGGCUCACCAAGGCGACGAUCCCUAGCUGGUUUGAGAGGAUGAUCAGCCACACUGGGACUGAGACACGGCCCAGACUCCUACGGGAGGCAGCAGUGGGGAAUAUUGCACAAUGGGCGCAAGCCUGAUGCAGCCAUGCCGCGUGUGUGAAGAAGGCCUUCGGGUUGUAAAGCACCUUCAGUCAGGAGGAAAGGUUAGUAGUUAAUACCUGCUAGCUGUGACGUUACUGACAGAAGAAGCACCGGCUAACUCCG
rnacentral:rRNA from 1 species